AAGAAAAGUAAACAGAGUAGGGGUUAGUGAAACCCACACAUAAAUCUGAAGGUCCAAAAUGCCCUUCUUCCUCUACAUCUGCUUGGUGGUGGAGGGCCUGGACAAUCUGCAAGCUCCCUCGCACAUCUCUGCAGGGGCCUCUUGUGGCUGCGAGGGACUGUGGUACCCCCACUCCGGUGGAUCUCAGAUGGUUCCUCCCUCAGGGCUCACUCCUAACAUUGCCUUUGAGACUAACCCUGCCCCUGGUCUGGAAGAAUUUAAGAAGUUUGAGUGACCGUCUCUGGAAGCACACACAAGAGGCUGUUAAUGGUGGUUGACUCUGGGAAGAAGAAAUGGGUAGAGGAGGAGCUGGAAGAAUAACUUGCUCUUCUUUGUGUUCCCUAUUUGUAUCCUUUUGAAUUUGUGCCCAAUAUCUGUUUUCAAAGAAUAAGUAACAUUACUAAAGGAAAGAAAAGUAAGAGUUUUAUAGCUGAGAAUAUGAAUCUCAACCCUUCCACCUCCAGCUUCAUGCCUGGAGUGUACUAUCUAACCUUGCUGAGCCUUGGUUUUUUUCCAUUUCUAAAUAAUAAUAAUAUUAUCUACCACAUCUGAUUAUUGUGAGGACUGAAGGAGACAGUGGCCCAUGCUAAGAGCUCAGUAAGUGGUAUCCACUGCCACCAUCAUAAUCAGCAUCACAAGUGAAGAGCACUAACCAUUGCAAAAAGGAUCAGAAGGUGGUCUUGUUCUUUCCUUAACCACAGACGGAUUCCUAUCACUGACCAAGGACUCACCUCAGCCUUAAACUCAGACUAAACUCUAAGUCCUGCUCAUAUAGCCCCCUAUUCAUGACUCUAGACAUAGCCAAAGCAGCGUGUUGUCCCGAAUGGAUCCUACAGAAGAACCAGAAAAACAGUAUGGCGUCAGGCUAGAGGUGUGGCUGCAACUAUUUUGGUUUAAAAGCUCUCCAGUAUGAUUCCCCUCAUUGCUGGCAGGAGUGGAAAUUGGCUCAACACUUUACAAAACUGUUAGGCAGUAUUGACUAAAGCUAAACAUAAACGUACCCUGUAACCACUAUUUCCAUUUCUCAAUAUAUACCCAACAGAAAUGAGUGCAUAUGUCCUCACAAAUACUUGUAUAAGAAUGUAUGUGGGGGGGGGGGGGGGGGGGGAGGAAUAGCAUUGAGAGAAGUACCUAAUGUAGAUGACAGGUUGAUGGAUGCAGCGAAUCACCAUGGCACAUAUAUACCUAUGUAACAAGCCUGCACAUUCUGCACAUGUAUCCCAGAACUUAAAGUAUAAUUUUUAAAAAAAAGAAUGUAUGUUCAUAGAGCUUCAUUUAUAAUAGCCCAAAAUUGUUAACAAUCAAAAUGUCCGUCAUUAGGAGAAUGGAUAAACAAAUUGUGGUAUAUUCAUGGAAUAGAAUACUACCCACCAUUAAGACAGAAUUAACUACUAGUGUCCAACACAACAUGGAAAAACCACACAGACAUCAUAUUGGGGUAAAAGAAAUUAGGCACAAAAAUGAGCAUAAUAUACGAGUUGAACAACUGGCAAAACUUAUCAAUGGUGAAAGAAGUGAAAAUGGUGAUUAUCUUAGGAGAGUUGGUGCUCACUGGGAAGUGGCACAAAGAAAACUUCGAGAGUGCUGGAAAUGCCCAAUAUUUUGAUCUGUAUGGUGUCACAUGUGUAUUUACAUAGGUAAACACACACACAUCACAGAAUUACAUUAUGGUCAACAACUGAUCACAUAUACAACAGUGAUCCCAUAGGAUUGUAAUGAAAUUGAUAAUUUUCUAUCACCUACUGAUGUAGUACCAUUGUAAUGUCAUAGUGUAAUACAUUACCUUUUCUAUGUUUAGAUAUGCAUAGAUACACAGAUACUUACCAUUGUGUUACAGUUGCCUACAGUAUUCAAUACAGUACCAUGCUGUACAGGUUUGUAGCCUAGGAGCAACAAGCUAUAUUUUACAGCAUAGGUGUAUAGUAGGCUCCACCAUCUAGGUUUGUAUAAGAACACUGUAUGAUGUUCAUGCAACAACAAAUUUGCCUGUCAAUGCAUUUCUCAGAACAUAUUCCUGUCAUUAAUGACGCAUGACUAUAGUCAUCAAGCUGUAGCUCAAGAUUUGUUCAUUGUAUACCUUUUAUGGUAUGCAUUACGCCUCAUAUAAAAAUGAAAUAAGUAGCAAUAAAGCUCUGUCUCGAAAG